rnacentral:lncRNA from 1 species
CCAAAUACAGCAAAACUGAACAUAUACAUUAAAUAGAUGCUCCUGUGAUACAACAAAGUACUUUUGAGCCCAAAAACGCGCCUGGCCCAUGGCCUGUCGCGCGCUCACACUCUUCUCUGGCCCGAGGCCAGCCUGUUCUUUCGCCCGGCCUGCGGCCUCAUCUCGCACACGCGACCUGUACAGCCCACAUUCGCGCCCGCGGCCCACCACUAGCUCGCGGCCCAACAGCCAGCCAGGGUUGCGCGUCCUUUUCGCCCAGCACAAAACGUCCGGCCGAAAACCCUAGCCAGUCUUCUCCCGCCUCUGUUUCUUCUCUGGCGACGGCAGGAGAGUCGGCUGGAGCCGCUUUCUCCGGGGGUGGCGAGCCGCGCCACCGGCUCUCCUCUCCCCCACCUCCUCCUGUUCUCUGUUACCUUCCCGGCGGAGACCACCGACGCGGAAGAUUUUCGCGGCGGCGUCCUUGGCCUCUUGCCGGCGCACGCGUGCACCCGAAGGUGCGCGCGUCACCGUCAAGCGGUCAACGGCGCCGCCCUUUUCCCGGCGAGUGGGCGUGGCGACGGCGACCGGCGGCGCCACCCACUUUUCUGUCUCAGGUAAGUUCUCCACUGUUAGGGUUAGGGUUUGUACUUUUUUGCUUUUCUUCUUUCUCUUUUCCUUUCCUUUUCUACCCUACCGGAUCUACAUGCCUAGUAGGCUCUGGUACCAUUGUUAGAUUCUAGAAGUUGUCUAGGUGUAGAUCAAAUCAGUAGAUUGGCUUUGCUGUGAAUAAUCUUGGGAUUCGGGUAAGGGGAUUGAGAGAGAGGGAGAGGAGUACCUUCUCCUUGACUGGACGUAGCCGGCGUGGACGACAUCGUGACGGCGAGGGAGAUUGAUGGCCGGCGUCGGGUGACACAGUGGCGGGGCUUCCCGUCGCUAUCUGCGCCUUUCCUCUAGAUCGGGUUAGGUGUGUCGGUGGGGUGACGGCGACGCAGAGGAACCUUGUAGUGUAUGCCCUGGCCCCCACCUAUUUAUAUAGCGCAGCGCGACAGGGGCCCGCAACCAUAUUGGGUUGGGGGCCCCCGAUCAGGGCGCGUCAGAUCUAGACCCGGUGGGCCCUUGGGCCCACACGGCAGGAGAUCACUCUAACACAGUUAUCUUCCCUAGCUCCUCUGGGAUUCCUCCAGUGAGAUUAUUUCCUUCGAGAUAUAAUACCUCAAGCUUUUGGAGCCUUGAGAGUGAGCGAGGUAUCGAGCCAGAGAAUCCAUUAGCGGAAAGAUCUAGAUACCUCAACCUCGGUACAAUCUCCGGCAAUGAAUCUGGUAACGGCCCCAAGAAAGUGUUACCCGAUAAAUCCAGUGACCUCACUCUCGCACAAGUGCAGUUGAGGAUGUACUGUGGGAAUGUACCAUUGAGAUCAUUAUGAUAUAGAAAUAAGAACUUCAAAUUGGGCAUAGGUGUGAACUUGGCGUAUUCGGGGAUGGUCAAGUGGUUAUUUCCCAAAUUUAACCCAACAAUGCUUGUGAGGUGGCUGAGUUGGUAGGGGAUGGCACCAACAAGAUUGUUGCUUCUCAAGUUCAGAAAAGUGAGCGUGUGCAACAGGGAUAUAUUUGCUGGGAUGUUUCCAACAAGAUUGUUGUUGCCAAGAUUGAUACUGAUGAGGUUCCGGAAAGCUUCUGAAUAGAAGGCGUCGAGCGUACCACUGAGACCAGCGUAGGGAAGCUUGAGCCUGGUAACAUGCCCAGCAGCGUCGCAGGUUACGCCAGACCAUGAGCAUGUGGAGUUGGCCAUUGACCACGAGGACACCGACUUGGCGCCAAUCAAGGUGGACCUCCAUCGGAGAAGUGCUUCCGCUUCCGAGUCAAUCGCCUUGGCCGUGCACAUUAGCAGGAAAAUUGAGAUGUGGAGGAGUAUGUGCAGCGCCAUUCGUGAUACUAGGAUGAGGCAAGCUGCAGCAAAGGUGCUGAACGGAUUAGUAGAAACCUAUCUAUGUCCCAUUGGGACUAGCCGGGGUCAAUGCAAGACUUCAACUAAAAAAAAAAUGCAAUAUAGAACGGUGAGAUCGUGCUGGGACCAAGUGGCAUCCGGCCAGAAAGACUGAAGAUCACUUGGGGUCAUCCUAGGGUGAACAGCAGCUGUUAAACACGUAGCCUCAGUGCGUGCAUAAAUAUGUUUAGAAGUAGUACGGAGUACUAUUUGUUAGGCUCGGCCGCACUGCCGACACCGUCCUGUGGUCAUCAGGAUGUGGGCGUCUUCUUUAGAGGUUAGCACGUAAUUACCAUAGCCCUGUCGCUAUUAGGGAGAGAGAAGUAUUAGAAUUCGAAAUAGGUCUAGCUAGGGUGGCGGCAUGAGCCACAAAAAACGGAUCUGCUCCCUGGAGUUGUCACUCCCUCUCCUUCCUCCACCUUGCUGCCUCCUGAGGCUGUGGCCGGGCAAAGCCAGCCGCCGCCGGUGAGGCGGGCAGCGGGGAGCGCACCCGACCCGUCUCGGAUCUAGACGGUGGCGACGGUGCAUCGAUGCGGCAUAUCUCGCAAUCUGACACGGUGGCGCAACACGUCGCUUCGUCCUGACUGUUGGUAUCUAGGCGCGGUGCUUUGUCGUCCUGCCCCUUCCUCUGCACCAGCCUGAUCUACACGUUUGGGAAGGCACGGCUGCCGGUGAAAACCAAGCCGACCUCGGUCAUGACGGAAGAUAUGAUGGCGGCGCCCUUGCGUUGUUACCUUGUCUAAGGCAUCGUUCUUGCAGGUCUCGCCCCCUCGCUCGGGCUGCUCCGGGGGAAACCCCAUAUCUGAAUCUUCUCGGAUCGGACGAUGACGACGCUCAGCGUCAUUUCUCCCUCUUGAGGGAAUCGUCUUGGAGCAGGUGUUGUCUCGGAGGGUCAAGAGGUGGAGCAGCAUGGCAUCUUUCGCAUUGACGGCAUCGGGUCUCGGCAGCAUGCUGCAGUAGGGUCUCGAUGGCAGACGUGUGAUGAUGGACGCGUGCAGGGCGGUGGCGUUGUCUGGCGUCAUGGUGACGUCGAUGGGAGCCCUGGCAAAGUCAAUGCUUUGAUCCGUGUCCUGAAGAUGGGUCGGCGGAAGAUGACGGCAGCUGAUUCUGGAGCGUGAGCAUGCGGUGCGCGCCGAGGAUCUGCUGGACCGGUUGUGCCCUGGUGCGGCCUUCGGAUUUAGGUGAUGUGUGCGCAUUGGUGUGUGAUCAGGGCAUGUGACCCGAUCAUUGUCACUCCCUUCAUCAAGCUUGUAGUUGUCGCGACUAUUAUUGUGAGAGAGGUGGCUUUUGGUUGAUCAAUGUAUUCAUUUUGUCAGGUUUGUUGAAUAAUAUAAUAAAAAAGGUUGUGUGCACCUGACAAGGGCGGAAGGUGUAGGGACCUGACCGAGGAUGGCAAUGGGGCGGGUUUGGACGGGCGAAGCAUAUCCAUAUCCAUAUCCACAUCCAUCUCUAAAUCCACUUCCAUCCA